rnacentral:rRNA from 1 species
ACCGGCGCACGGGUGAGUAACACGUAUGCAACCUGCCCGUCUCAGGGGGAUAAUCGUCGGAAACGGCGUCUAAUACCCCGUAUGAAGCUGGAUGGCAUCGUCUGGUUUUGAAAGAAUAUCGGAGACGGAUGGGCAUGCGGCGCAUUAGCUAGUUGGCGGGGUAACGGCCCACCAAGGCGACGAUGCGUAGGGGUUCUGAGAGGAAGGUCCCCCACACUGGUACUGAGACACGGACCAGACUCCUACGGGAGGCAGCAGUGAGGAAUAUUGGUCAAUGGCCGGGAGGCUGAACCAGCCAAGUCGCGUGAGGGAAGACGGCCCUACGGGUUGUAAACCUCUUUUGUCAGGGAGCAAGGGGCGGGUCGAGACCUGCUGUGAGAGUACCUGAAGAAAAAGCAUCGGCUAACUCCGUGCCAGCAGCCGCGGUAAUACGGAGGAUGCGAGCGUUAUCCGGAUUUAUUGGGUUUAAAGGGUGCGCAGGCGGAGGCACAAGUCAGCGGUAAAAUCGCGGGGCUCAACCCCGCUCCGCCGUUGAAACUGUGUCCCUUGAGUGCGCGAAGGGUAGGCGGAAUGCGUGGUGUAGCGGUGAAAUGCAUAGAUAUCACGCANAACUCCGAUCGCGAANGCAGCCUACCGGCGCGCGACUGACGCUCAUGCACGAAAGCGUGGGUAUCGAACAGGAUUAGAUACCCUGGUA